GAUCAUGGCUCAGGAUGAACGCUGGCGGCGCGCCUAACACAUGCAAGUCGAACGGCACCUAUCUUCGGAUAGAAGCGAGUGGCGAACGGCUGAGUAACACGUGGAGAACCUGCCCCCUCCCCCGGGAUAGCCGCCCGAAAGGACGGGUAAUACCGGAUACCCCGGGGUGCCGCAUGGCACCCCGGCUAAAGCCCCGACGGGAGGGGAUGGCUCCGCGGCCCAUCAGGUAGACGGCGGGGUNACGGCCCACCGUGCCGACAACGGGUAG
rnacentral:rRNA from 1 species